rnacentral:rRNA from 1 species
UGGCUCGGCGUGCUUACACAUGCAGUCGAACGCUGAAGCACCAGCUUGCUGGUGUGGAUGAGUGGCGAACGGGUGAGUAAUACGUGAGUAACCUGCCCUUGACUCUGGGAUAAGCCCGGGAAACUGGGUCUAAUACUGGAUGCUACAUGUCACCGCAUGGUGGUGUGUGGAAAGGGUUUACUGGUCUUGGAUGGGCUCACGGCCUAUCAGCUUGUUGGUGAGGUAAUGGCUCACCAAGGCGACGACGGGUAGCCGGCCUGAGAGGGUGACCGGCCACACUGGGACUGAGACACGGCCCAGACUCCUACGGGAGGCAGCAGUGGGGAAUAUUGCACAAUGGGCGAAAGCCUGAUGCAGCGACGCCGCGUGAGGGAUGACGGCCUUCGGGUUGUAAACCUCUUUCAGCAGGGAAGAAGCCACAAGUGACGGUACCUGCAGAAGAAGCGCCGGCUAACUACGUGCCAGCAGCCGCGGUAAUACGUAGGGCGCAAGCGUUGUCCGGAAUUAUUGGGCGUAAAGAGCUCGUAGGCGGUUUGUCGCGUCUGCUGUGAAAGCCCGGGGCUUAACCCCGGGUGUGCAGUGGGUACGGGCAGACUAGAGUGCAGUAGGGGAGACUGGAAUUCCUGGUGUAGCGGUGGAAUGCGCAGAUAUCAGGAGGAACACCGAUGGCGAAGGCAGGUCUCUGGGCUGUUACUGACGCUGAGGAGCGAAAGCAUGGGGAGCGAACAGGAUUAGAUACCCUGGUAGUCCAUGCCGUAAACGUUGGGCACUAGGUGUGGGGGACAUUCCACGUUUUCCGCGCCGUAGCUAACGCAUUAAGUGCCCCGCCUGGGGAGUACGGCCGCAAGGCUAAAACUCAAAGGAAUUGACGGGGGCCCGCACAAGCGGCGGAGCAUGCGGAUUAAUUCGAUGCAACGCGAAGAACCUUACCAAGGCUUGACAUAUACCGGAUCGUUCCAGAGAUGGUUCUUCCCCUUUGGGGUCGGUAUACAGGUGGUGCAUGGUGUCGUCAGCUCGUGUCGUGAGAUGUUGGUAGUCCCGCACGAGCGCACCUCGUCAUGUUGCCAGCACGUGAUGGUGGGACUCAUGGAGACUGCCGGGUCACUCGAGAGGUGGGAUGACGUCAAUCAUCAUGCCCUUAUUGUUCUUGCUCACGCAUGCUACAUUGCGGUACAAGUGGCAAUCUGUGCAGUGACUAUCUAAAGCCGUCUCAGUUCGGAUGAAGUCUGCACUCUGAACCUCAUCUAUGUGA